rnacentral:rRNA from 1 species
GAUGAACGCUGGCGGCGUGCCUAACACAUGCAAGUCGAGCGAUUCUCUUCGGAGAAGAGCGGCGGACGGGUGAGUAACGCGUGGGUAACCUGCCCUGUACACACGGAUAACAUACCGAAAGGUAUGCUAAUACGAGAUAAUAUGCUUUUAUCGCAUGGUAGAAGUAUCAAAGCUGCGGUGGUACAGGAUGGACCCGCGUCUGAUUAGCUAGUUGGUAAGGUAACGGCUUACCAAGGCGACGAUCAGUAGCCGACCGGAGAGGGUGAUCGGCGACAGGGGAGCGGAGAGACGGUCCAAACUCCGACGGGAGGGAGGAGGGGAGAAUAGUGCACAAUGGGAGGAAGGCUGGUGCAGCAGCGCGGCGUGAGCGACGAAGGCCUUCGGGUCGUAAAGCUCUGUCCGGAAGGAAGAGAAUGACGGUACUUGAGGAGGAAGCCCCGGCGAACUACGUGCCAGCCGCCGCGGUGA